rnacentral:rRNA from 1 species
CCUCCGGGAGGCUGCAGUGGGGAAUCUUGGACAAUGGGCGCAAGCCUGAUCCAGCCAUACCGCGUGGGUGAAGAAGGCCUUCGGGUUGUAAAGCCCUUUUGUUGGGAAAGAAAUCCAGCUGGCUAAUACCCGGUUGGGAUGACGGUACCCAAAGAAUAAGCACCGGCCAACUUCGUGCCAGCAGCCGCGGUAAAACGAAGGGUGCAAGCGUUACCUGGAAUUACUGGGCGUAAAGCGUGCGUAGGUGGUCGUUUAGGUCCGUUAUGGAAGACCUGGGCUCAACCUGGGAACUGCAAUGGAUACUGGGCGAAUAGAGUGUGGUAGAGGGUAGCGGAAUUCCUGGUGUAGCAGUGAAAUGCGUAGAGAUCAGGAGGAACAUCCAUGGCGAAGGCAGCUACCUGGACCAACACUGACACUGAGGCACGAGAGCGUGAGGAGCAAACAGGAUUAGAUACCCUUGUAGUC